GCCAGGUGUGGUGGCUCACACCUGUAAUCACAGCAGCUUGGGAGGCUGAGUCGGGGGAAUCCCAAGUCCAAAGCCAGCCUCAGCAAUUCAGCUAGACCUUGACUCAA
rnacentral:sRNA from 1 species